AUUGAACGCUGGCGGCAGGCCUAACACAUGCAAGUCGAGCGCGAAAGUUCUUCGGAAUGAGUGAAGCGGCGGACGGGUGAGUAAUGCAUGGGAAUCUGCCUGGUAGUGGGGGACAACGUCUCGAAAGGGACGCUAAUACCGCAUACGCCCUACGGGGGUUAGGGGGGGUUCUUCGGGCUCCUCGCUCUCAGAUGAGCUUAUGCCAGGUAAGGUAGUUGGCGGGGUAAAGGCCUAACAAGGCGACGAUCUGUAACUGGUCAGAGAAGAUGAUCAGUGACACUGAAACUGAGAGACGUUUCAGAGACCAACGAGAGGCAGCACCGGGGAAUAUUGCGCAAUGGCAGAAAGUCUGAUCAAGCCCGGCAACGUGUGUAAAGAAAGCCUGAGGGUUGUAAAGCACUUCCGGUGGGGAGAAAGGGUGUUUACUUAAAACAUAGGCAGAUGGAUGUUACCCACAGGAGAAGCAACGGCUAAGACCGU
rnacentral:rRNA from 1 species